CAGGUCUACAAGGUGGACAUGUGCAAGUGGAUGUCCCACAAAUAGGGCACAUUUAUUUAUUUUUAUAGAGGAGGCUGGCUUUAACCCAGCAAAAAGAAGGCAAUGGGGAUGGAACAUUAUUGGCCACUGUCAAUGUCAAUGUGUAGAGGGAAUAUCACCAUGUGUGCAGCAGUUAGCCAGCAAGGCGUCCUCUAACACCAUGCCAACCUUGGUCCCUGCAACACCAUCUAUCUCAUCACAUUCCUGGACAGACUACAUGGCAUCCUUGUUCCGGCCAAGCAGAAAGGUGGACCAGAACAGCCCAGAUGGAAGGUCCCUUCACACUCAUGCCUCUUCUCCAGGCAAUAGAUCAUGCAUGUGGUAAUGUUGAUGUGGGGGCUUACGACGGCUGGAUAUGUCACUAUAGAAGAUUCUUUGCCCACUAUUUAGCCAGGGAGACGAUCGCUUGUGAUGUAGAUGAGGUGCUGUGGCUAGACCACAAAUGGAGGCAGGAUGCAGUCUAAUUUCUUUUUUCUUACAUUUGUUUUUGUUUUUGUGUUUAGUGUUAAGAAAAAAUGAGCCACAUUACAGAUAUGUAUGCAUAUUCUACAACUAGCUACAGCAGAACACUGAGAAUAUAAAAGGCAUAAACCUACUGAUGAGAUUUACAGUGUUUUGUGUUGAGUACAUCAGUUUGUUGUAUGGUAGAAAUAUGACAGUGUGUGUGUAAUUUUGAUGCAAAAAACAUAUUUUGGAAAGGGAUAAAACAGUUUUGAAUGUUGUGUUUGCUUUUGCUAGUGGUUUUGUGUUUAGAGUUUUGAAGAAAUGAGCCAAAGAUUCGGAAAAAGUGUGUAAACAAUUGUGAAAAAUUCUAAAACAGAACUGUCUCACUUGUGAAAUAUGUCAGCAAGGCUGAGCAAACACUGUCAGAAUAAUAACCGAGGAGAUGAGUGCUGCUGUUGGCCCCAAACGGCCUCUCAGCGAUAGGCUGGAUCAGCACUCCAACUGCUGCUUCCUAGAAAUCAAAGACCAAAAUUGCUGAACUUUGAUUCCUCGCAGAAGGGCGCCAUGUAUGUGUAUAUGUGAGGUCAAAGCUCUUGUUUUGUUUCAUUUGAAUAA